rnacentral:tRNA from 1 species
GGGGGCAUAGCUCAGUGGUAGAGCACGUGUUUGGCAUGCAUAAGGUCCUAGGUUCAAUCCCCAGUGCCUUUG